rnacentral:tRNA from 1 species
UGGAGCAUAGUCCCGUAAGUGGAAGCGGCCCUGACUGUAAAUCAGGUGUCUCACGACCUUGGGUGUUCGAUUCGCCCUGCUCCAA